rnacentral:lncRNA from 1 species
GGUAAGAAAUGAGAGCUUUGAGAAUAAUGUAUCUGGGGUCCCCCUUUUAUAGGCGGGGAGUGCGAUAGACUGAUAGCGACUGUUUGUAACCGCCUAGUCGUGGGCCGCACGGGGCCAGGAGGAAAUUUAUCAUGAAGAGUUAUGGGGUGGAGUCGUGGCUGUCACCAUGGCUUGCCACGUGGAGUCAGUUGUAGAGAAUGGAGCGGCGUCCGUUGUCGCGACUCGUCAGGG